UACGGGGGGUGCAAGCGUUGUUCGGAAUUAUUGGGCGUAAAGCGCACGUAGGCGGGUCUGUAUGUCGAUUGUGAAAGCCCCGGGCUUAACCCGGGAAUUGCAGUCGAAACUGCAGAUCUUGAAUGCUUGAGAGGAUGGCGGAAUUCCUGGAGUAGUAGUGAAAUACGUAGAUAUCAGGAAGAACACCCGAGGCGAAGGCGGCUAUCUGGUGAUGCAUUGGCGCUGAGGUGCGAAAGCGUGGGGAGCAAACAGG
rnacentral:rRNA from 1 species